rnacentral:rRNA from 1 species
UACGUAGGGCGCAAGCGUUGUCCGGAAUUAUUGGGCGUAAAGAGCUCGUAGGCGGCUUGUCACGUCGGGUGUGAAAGCCCGGGGCUUAACCCCGGGUCUGCAUUCGAUACGGGCUGGCUAGAGUGUGGUAGGGGAGAUCGGAAUUCCUGGUGUAGCGGUGAAAUGCGCAGAUAUCAGGAGGAACACCGGUGGCGAAGGCGGAUCUCUGGGCCAUUACUGACGCUGAGGUGCGAAAGCGUGGGUAGCGAACAGG